rnacentral:rRNA from 1 species
UCGAGCGGAAGGCCCUUCGGGGUACUCGAGCGGCGAACGGGUGAGUAACACGUGGGCAACCUGCCCCUAGCUCUGGGAUAACUCCGGGAAACCGGGGCUAAUACCGGAUAUGACCACAGUCGGCAUCGGUUGUGGUGGAAAGUUUUUCGGCUAGGGAUGGGCCCGCGGCCUAUCAGCUUGUUGGUGGGGUAAUGGCCUACCAAGGCGACGACGGGUAGCCGGCCUGAGAGGGCGACCGGCCACACUGGGACUGAG